ACAUGCAAGUCGAACGAAGUAGCAAUACUUAGUGGCAGACGGGUGAGUAACAUGUAGGUAUCUACCCUAUGGCCUGGAAUAACACGAGGAAACUUGUGCUAAUACUGGAUAAGUCUUUACGGAGAAAGCUUUAUGCACCAUUGGAUGAGCCUGCACUUGAUUAGUUUGUUGGUGGGGUAAUGGCCUACCAAGACUGUGAUCAAUAGCUGAUUUGAGAGGAUGAUCAGCCACAUUGGGACUGAGACACGGCCCAAACUCCUACGGGAGGCAGCAGUGGGGAAUCUUGCACAAUGGAGGAAACUCUGAUGCAGCGAUGCCGCGUGAGUGAAGAAGGCCUUUGGGUUGUAAAGCUCUUUCGUCGGGGAAGAAAAUGACUGUACCCGAAUAAGAAGGUCCGGCUAACUUCGUGCCAGCAGCCGCGGUAAUACGAAGGGACCUAGCGUAGUUCGGAAUUACUGGGCUUAAAGAGUUCGUAGGUGGUUGAAAAAGUUGGUGGUGAAAUCCCAGAGCUUAACUCUGGAACUGCCAUCAAAACUUUUCAGCUAGAGUAUGAUAGAGGAAAGCAGAAUUUCUAGUGUAGAGGUGAAAUUCGUAGAUAUUAGAAAGAAUACCAAUUGCGAAGGCAGCUUUCUGGAUCAUUACUGACACUGAGGAACGAAAGCAUGGGUAGCGAAGAGGAUUAGAUACCCUCGUAGUCCAUGCCGUAAACGAUGUGUGUUAGACGUUGGAAAUUUAUUUUCAGUGUCGCAGUGAAAGCGAUAAACACACCGCCUGGGG
rnacentral:rRNA from 1 species